AUGGACGAUUUAGAGGAGACAGUCAAUGGGGCCGCCAUGGCUCGACAAAACACAGCGGGGGUCGAGGAUGAGGGGCUGCCAGGCUAUGGCACAAAGGACCACUCUAAUGUUGACCCAUGGAAAGGAGCUGUCAGAAGAUUGGAAGCGGUCCAGUGUGAGCCAAUGGGAAUGGGUUCUUUCUGGAGAGGCUUGUCAAGGAACCAGGCUUGUGUCUGGAUGACAAUGGGACAAGGGGACAUCUGGACCAGUCGAAGACCGACUUUUUCUGUCCGACAUCGGCCCAUCUUGAAAGUGAGAGGCAUGAAGAUGUGACGUUCAGUGUCCUCCAUUUAGAUUUUGAUCUCAUUGUCCUGUCACCCUUUUGGCCCCGCUCCAGGACCCAUUAUUGAGAGCAUGACUUGGCAUGUUGUAAUGUAUGUUGUCAACAUGUUGAUGUAUCGUGAGUGUUAUUGUUCAUAUUCAGGUCAUUAUUGGCUUGUAAAGUUGAGUUUUUUCAGUUUUGUCCUUCAUAUGAACCUUUAUUUUCAUUUUUCAAUCAUUCUAACCUAUUUUGUCAAUGAAUGUUACUUUGUGGGGGCUAUUCUUCAAAGUUUGUUUAUUUCUCUGUCAAUGUUAGACCCCGGUCCAUUGACAGUCUGUUGGGCAAACUCCACAGUCCUCCAGGGUUGAACAUCCCCUCUCAGCUGUGUAGGAGGUCGAUACUCCAACGUCUCCACACUGCAAACUAGGCCUGAGCCUCUGAGGAUUUGGCAGGGGCGAGGCAGGGACGGCGGUAGGGUUGGACUGGGUUUAGUUUGGCUGCCGUGGGGGACUGUGGUUUGGACUGAUGUGUCGCUGCUGCCUUAACCCCUUGUCACUCUUCAUAUCAGCGGACCAUGAGGAAUGUUGAGAUCUGUUGGCCACCGAUGUGACAUAACCCCUCACUUUCUAAUCCAUGUACCGUUACUAUAACACAUCUGGUUAUAAAGGGGUUGUACAAAUGUUCUGAAUAUUAAUGGAUACGUUGCAGACACAGGGUCUGUAAUCACUAUAGUUACAUAUGAAUAAUUAUAAACCGGGUAGUUUGGGUCCUGGAUGCUGAUUGGCUGAAACAGCAUUUCAGCCGUGUGUGUAUCAGACAAUAUACCAAGGGUAUGAUGCAAAAAUACUGGUUUACUGCUCUAAUCAUGUUGGUAAUCAGUUUAAAAUGUAAAAAAGGCACCUUGGGGCCAAUAUACCACGGCUAAGGGCUGUAUCCAGACACUCCUCAUUGCAUAGUGCAUAAGAACAGCCCUUAGCAGUGGUAUAGGCUUCAUAAACCCUUUAUAAACAGUCCAUAGCCGUCAUGGUUACCUUGCUGACAUAAGCUUUGUGAAUAAAAAGGAAAUUGAUUUGUGUGGCAUUCAUCAGGACUCAUGGUCUUGAUUGGUUCCCAUCAAAGCCAUUGUCCUAUCAAUGGAACUCAUGUGCCUGUGUCGCCAAGUCCUCUCAAUACAUCUGCACGGUUUUAUUGUGCUCUGGGAAUGUCUCGAAAUCCAGACUUCAUUUAGGUCCCUAUGUAUACCGUACAGCCGACCCCUCCCAUCCUGAAGGUCUGUAAUGGAUAUUAUAUGUACAGAACCUAAUGCAUAACAUGCACAGAGUGAUAUUUCACAGUUUCACUAUUACAAGCACUUUAAGGCCGACUGUUUGUUUGAGCACCACGUCCAGCGUGUCAAAUGAUUAAAAGUUUCGACAAGGACACGGGAAAAAAGGCGAGACUGACGACACCACAGUGUUACAACCUCCUGUGAUGCUUGUAAUACUUAGAGCUGAAUCUACACUUGAGCAUGGCAAAUGUGCCAGGUUAAAGCUCUCACGAUCCCAGUUUCCCGAAAUAGGUGCUCGACUUAUCCUGGUAUUUCAGUAAUGUGUGUCUCAAAUGGCACCCUGUUUCCUAUGUAGCGCACUACUUUUGACCAGGGCCCAUAAGGCUCUGGUCAAAAGUAGUUCACUAUAUAGGGAAUAGGGUGCCAUUUAGGUGUGCACACUAGGAGGCCCUAUUAAAUGGUGGGUGGUGCUGCUGCUCCAUAAUGAGUGGCUGACUGGGUAGACCGGAGUUCUCCUAAGCUGAUCCGUAGUCCUCAUUCCUUGAAUGCAGACAGGAAUUCUCCGGUGUCAGCGCUUCUUAAAGUGGGCUGCUGGAGCUUCAGCACUUUCCCCAAAGCCUAGGAAAAGAGUGGAGAAAAUCCGGUUAAAUCCACACAAGUCUGGAAUGCAUUUUCAUUAAAAGGCGUUUGUUUGAAGGGAUUGUGUGGUCCAGGGAGAGUGAAUAUCAGAAGAGAUCAGAUUGAAUGGCUGAUUGCUACGUACUGUCGUCGGAGAGGUAGUGUUAGAGACAGGAGGGUGAGAGAGGAGAGAAAUGACCUGACCAAGACAUAUUUAUUUGGCUGCCUGGUUGCCAACAAGGUGUUAGAACUGUAAAAUGUUUUUCUUUUUUAAAAUCCUAGUUUGUGUGUGUGCAUGUACGUGUGUGUGCAUGUAUGUGUGUGUGCAUGCGUGUGAACUCCUGUACCACCAGAUAAAGCCACUGUCUGUCUAAAUCUCCUAUUACUCAGUCCCUACACGUCUCCUUAUUUAUUUAUUUCCCUGUGUCUCUCUUUCCUCAAGAGGUAAUUACAAUCCAAGGAGAGACAGGGCUUAUCGCAAUACUGCUGCCCCCAUCCUAGAAUGUGUCU
rnacentral:lncRNA from 8 species